AGCUAAGUUUGUUAUUGGUAUGAGCUUUCGUGUGCAUGCACAUUUCUUCAGAUACCACUACUGAAGAAGUGUACACGCACACAAAAGCUCAUACCAAUAACAAACUUAGUUGG